CUACAUUUUAAAACAUUUUAUUGGGAUAAAAUAUACCGCUUAACAUUUACCAUUUUAACCAUGUUUUAAGUGCAUAGUUCAGUGAGUGGCAUUAAGUAUAUUCACAUUUUUGUGCAGCCAUCCUUAUCAUCCGCCUCCAGAUUUCUCACGUUUUCAAACUGAAACUCUGUACCAUUAAACACUGACUCCCCGUCCUCUCUCCCUAGCUCCCGGCAACAUUCUACUCCCUGUGUCUAUGAACUUGACUCUUCUAGGAACCUUGCAUCAGGGGAAUCACGCAAUAUUUGUCUUUUUGUGCCUAGCUUAUUUCACUUAGCAUCAUGUCCUCAAGGUUUGUCCGUGUUGUAGCGUGUGUCAGAAAUCCUUUGCUUUUUAAGGCUGAACAACAUUCCAUUGAGUGUACGGACCACACGUUACCUGUCCGUUCUUCUGUUGAUGAAUCUUUUGGCUACUGUGAUAACGCCACUGUGAACAGGGGUGGACAGUUCUCCUCGGCUUGGAGCUGCUGUGGUCUAAUGUGGGGGGCGACAGGUAGAUUCACCAGCAAGUUACCCUGGAUGAGCCCCCAUUUUGUCAUCUGUGAAAUGGGGAUACUGUUACCCACUGUAAGGGUUCAAUGAGAUGAUGCACCAUUUGGGGCAGUGCCGACACGUUGUAAACACUUGAUAAAUGUGAGCUUUUACUGCAGCUGCUGCCGCCGUGGGGCAAGAUGUGUCUAGAGAAGAGGGGGCCUGAAAGCGGGGGGUCAGCUUGCGCCCUCCCACAAAGGUCACGUCAGCCCACCCUCAUGAACAUCCUGGCGAGUGGUCCCGAAGAUCUCAAUUUUCCAGGUCCCAAAGAGGUCCAGUGCCAGAGGCUGGGGACCCAGAGGUGAAUUAGAUGUGGUCUCCACCUCCAAAGGGGUCUGAGCCCAAGGAUCAAGCAUGGCUUCAAAAAGCAGGUGAGAUCUGAGCUGACUUCGGAAGAGGAGGAGCCAGACCUAUCUUCAUAGGAGCGUGACCUGUGCUGUCACACCAGGCCCUGUGCUCAGAAGGCCCCCGUGCUUCGUUUAAUGUUCUCCUUUGCCAUCUUGGAGUUCUGAAUUUUUGAACAAAGGACCCCAUAGUUCCAUCGUCCACUGGGCCCGACAAAUUAUGUAGCAGUGCUGUGAAUAGGAGACCAUCAGGCAGAGAAGAGGGGGUAUCUUUGAAGCAAAAGGGCUCUGAGUGUGCAAAGGCAUGCUGAAACUUGAGGCUUAGCUCAUCCUGGAAACACUGCCAGGCACGCUGUUUCUAGUCGGAGAGCUGUGCAUCCCAGGAAAGCGGGAGAAGCUCCAAGUGGAAAACAGUGAAAGGCUUCAAACGCAAGGUUAGGAGGUUUGGAUGUUGUAUGAGGUGUCCGUGGGGAGCCUUCCAAACUGUGAAUUGGGAACGUGAUAGCUCACGGAUGGCACUGUGGCACUGUGGAGGCGAACGGUGCAGACGGUGUUAUGAUGUGUACUUUACAGAUGGGGAAACUGAGACCCCAAGAGGUGAUGUGAGCAGGGCUGCAAGAGAACUUUUGUGGGCUCUAGGCACUUUUAGCUUCAUGGACCCCUUUCUUCAGAAAUCUGCAUAUAUGUGUACAUAUACGUGUAUGUACACAUACAUACUCAUGCACAUAUGCAUGUACAUAUGUGUAUGUAUAAUUAUAUUUUACACCUGCAUUGGUAUAAAGGCAAAUACAUUAAUAUUAUAUACUAAAACACUUUCUUUGACUUAAAGUACGGUGGGCCCGAGGUUCUGUGCCUGCUGCACUUAA